AUCAGCUGGGGAUCUUGUUAAAAUGCAGAUUCAGAUUAAAUGGGUCGGGCAGGGAAGUCUGAGAUUUUGCAUUUCUAACAAGCUCCCAGGUGAUGCC
rnacentral:miRNA from 1 species